rnacentral:piRNA from 1 species
CCAUCAUUCAGACCUGUUCCACUCUGU